rnacentral:piRNA from 1 species
UGAGUGGUAGGUACGAACAGUUAACU